CCUCCUCCUGUGUCCGGACAGUCCUGACCUGGACACACUGCCUGCUUCCCCAUCCCGGCUCCACCCCGAUGUUGGCAGGCCACUUGACCUCCUGUGCCUCAGUUUCCUCAUCUGUAAGAGCGGGUCCCAAGCUGUUAUCUGUGGUGUGUAGGGCACCAGCUCUGUGGCCACGGGGGACAAAAGGCUCAGGCUGGGCCGGAGACAGUUCAACGCCAGGAGGAGCAUCUGCAGCCCUAGGUGAGGCUGCCCCCAGGGUAGCCCCAUGACAGCUGCCAGCACCCGGGAGGCUCAGGGGCUGGUCUGGCUGCUUCGGGCUGCACCUCACCCCCAACAGCUUGGCCCUGGAGAAGCUGGUUAAUCAGGCUGCCCCAGGGGCUGGAAAGACCUGCAAAUGAAGAAGAACUUGGAUUCAGAGAAAGGGCUGCAGAGCCCUUGACAGCUGACAAGCCCGCCACUUAAACACUACUCCCGGGAUUUGGCGCUCACUAUGUGUGUAUUUUUCAAGACAUAACUCACAUACCUUCACAACCUUCACAGCUCAGUGGCUUAAAUAUAUAUAUGUCACCCAGGGAGGUCAGUUCACAGCUAACUGGAGCCUCAAACUCCCAGGUUCAGUUAAUCCUCCCACCUCAGCCUUCCCAGUAGCUGGAACCACAGGCACACAACACCAUGCUCCGGCUAAUUUUUAAAAUUUAUUUAAUUAAUUUUUUUUUAAGAUGGAGUCUCCUUUGUUGUCCAGGCUGGAGUGCAGUGGCGUGAUCUGGGCUCACUGCAACCUCCGCCUCCUGGGUUCAAGCGAUUCUCCUGCCUCAGCCUCCCAAGUAGCUGGGAUUACAGGCAUGUGCCCCACGGCCAGCUAAUUUUUGUAUUUUUAGUAGGGACGGGGUUUCACCAUGUUGGCUUGGCUGGUCUCAAAUUCCUGAUCUCAAGUGAUCCACCCGCCUUGGCCUCCCAAAGUGCUGGGAUUACAGGCAUGUGCCACCGUGCCUGGCACCCCCGCCAAUUUUUUUUUUGUUUUUUUUGAAACGGAGUUUUCACUCUUGUUGCCCAGGCUGGAGUACAAUGGCUCGAUCUUGGCUCACCGCAACCUCCACCUCCUGGGUUCAAGUGAUUCUCCUGCCUCAGCCUCCUGAGUAGCUGGGAUUACAGGCAUGUGCCACCACACCUGUCUAAUUUUGUAUUUUUAGUAGAGAUAGGGUUUCUCCACGUUGGUGAGGCUGGUCUCGAACUCCUGACCUCAGGUGAUCCACCCACCUCAGCCUCCCAAAGCGCUGGGAUUGCAGGUGUGAGCCACUGCGCCCGGCUGGCCAAUUUUUAAAAAUGUAUUUUUUAUAGAAACAGGAUCUUGCUAUGUUGCCCAGGCUGAUCUCUAACUCCUGGGAGGAUCAAGCAAAUCUCCUGCCUUGGCCUCCUAAAGUAUUGGGAUUACAGGCGUGAGCCACCGUGCCUGGCUAUUUUUUUUUUUUUUUGAGACAUGGAGUCUCACCCUGUCGCCCAGGCGGAGGUUGCAGUGAGCUGAGAUCGCACCACCGCACUACAGCGUGGAUGACAGAGUGAGACUCUGUCUCAAAAAAAAUAUAAUAAAAAUAUAUUUCUUGUAGAGACAGGGUCUCACUGUGUUGCCCAGCCUGGUCUUGAACUCCUGGCUCAAGGGAUCCUCCUGCCUCAGCCUCCCAAAGUGCCCAGAUUACAGGCAUGAGCCACAGCGCCCAACAGCUUUUAGUAUAUCAACAAGGUUGUGCAACCAUCACCAAUUCCAGAACCUUCUUACUUCCCCAAAACGAAACACUACACCCAUUAAACGGUAACUCUCCAUUCUCCCGUCCCCAGUGACGACUAAGCUACUUCUUGUUUCCAUGGUUUUGCCCGUAAUGGACAUUUCAUAGGAUGCAGUCACACAACAUGUGACCUUUUGUGUCUGGCUUUUGUUACUUUUUCAAGGUUCCUCCUCGACUGUGAUUGCUUCAUUCCUUUUCACAGUUGAGUAA
rnacentral:lncRNA from 1 species